AUUUCAAUUACUGCUACCUGAUUUGAUCAUAGAUCAGUCAAAUUAUUUUCUACUUACAGGCCAAACAGCCCUGGGAGGUUGUUGGUAUCGACCUUAUUGGUCCAUUCAAGAAGACAUCCACAGGUUUUAAAUACACAAUGUCAGGGACAUGUCUCUAUUCCAAGUGGGUAGAAGCCAAGCCAAUCAAGGCAAAAUCAGCAAAGUUUGUGUACCAGGUGUUAGUGAAGUGGAUACAUCGUUGGGGUGCACCACUAAAGAUUUUAAGUGACCAAGGUACAGAGUUUAACAACAAGCUGCUGAACGGAUUAAUGUUAAAAAAAUUUAACAUCCGCCAUCUUGUCACAGCUGCCUAUCACCCCCAAACAAAUUGUUAAGAUGAGCGCACUAAUGGAACUCUCAAGCGUCACCUUUCAAAGAUGGUCGAUGAACAGCAGGAUGAUUGGCACCUUUAUAUUGAACAAGCAUGCUGUGGUGUCCGUUCGUCUUUUAACGAAUCAACUAAACACACUCCAUAUGAGAUCAUGCACAUAAGGAAGCCACGUUUUCCAUCAGAGUUGCCUGUGGAAAAGGAGGAUGAUGUGCCUGCUCCUAUCAUUUUGAAAGCAAUAACUCCUAAUGAAGUGGCUGAUUAUGUAAGUUCCAAGCAGGAACAGCUGAGUGUGAUGGAAGCCAAGGUUACUGCCAAUAACAUCAAUGCAAAAGAAAAUCAAAAAAAUAUAUAAUAAAUUGAAAAAGAUGAAAGGUUAUAAGGCGUACUAGUUUCAUGUUGGGCAAGCAGUCAUGAAGGCUAAUCCUAAGAAGCUUGGAGGCUGAAAGGGUGAUCGAAUGACACCAGAUUGGCUUGAUGGUUAUGUUGUGGUUAGCCUUACAGAUCACCAGGUUGUUUUGUGCAACACAAAAACCAAUAAGGUGCUGAAAAGCAUCAGUCUGGCUCAUAUCAAACCAUUUCGGGAGAGAGGUGCUGAUACAGAUGUUGAAAAUAAGGUCGCAGGUGUUGGUAUGGCAGUUGCAGAAGCUGAGGUUGCAGGUGGUGGUGAGGAGGUUACAUGUGUUGAGGUUCCAGGUGUUGGUGGAGGAGACAUUGCAGGUGUUGAGUUUGUAGGUUGUGGUGAGGAGGUUGCAGACGUUGAGGUUCCAGGUGUUGGUGAAGAGGUUGCGGACGUUGAGGUUCCAACUACUUCAUUACCCAACUGACUCUAGUACCCAGCUGACUCUAGUACCCAAUAAUUUAUGAUGUAACCACCCUAUUAACCAACUAGUUCAUUACCAAACUGACUCUACCCAACCACUCAAUUCAACCACUCUAUUACCCAAUAAAGUCUUCUGUGUUCAUGGAGAGGGGUACAGCGCAACGAAGACCCUGGUUAGAUUACUUAGAUAAUAUAAUACUGCGCGCUACAGUGGGGUAUUAAAGUA